ensembl:snRNA U6 U6 spliceosomal RNA
AUAGUAGUAUAUACACGAAAGUUGGAAGGAUACAGGGAAAAUUGGCAUAACCCUUGUAUAAGAAUGGCACUCACAUCUGUGAAGUGCUUCGCGUUUUC